CUGAAGUGAUGCAUGACUGAUCAG
rnacentral:miRNA from 1 species